GUUUGAUCCUGGCUCAGAUUGAACGCUGGCGGAAUGCUUUACACAUGCAAGUCGAACGGUAGAGGGGGCAACCCCUUGAGAGUGGCGAACGGGUGAGUAAUAUAUCGGAACGUGCCCAGUCGUGGGGGAUAACGUAGCGAAAGUUACGCUAAUACCGCAUACGAUCUAAGGAUGAAAGCGGGGGAUCGCAAGACCUCGCGCGACUGGAGCGGCCGAUAUCAGAUUAGGUAGUUGGUAGGGUAAAGGCCUACCAAGCCAACGAUCUGUAGCUGGUCUGAGAGGACGACCAGCCACACUGGAACUGAGACACGGUCCAGACUCCUACGGGAGGCAGCAGUGGGGAAUUUUGGACAAUGGGCGAAAGCCUGAUCCAGCCAUUCCGCGUGCAGGAUGAAGGCCCUCGGGUUGUAAACUGCUUUUGUACAGAACGAAAAGGCUUCUAUUAAUACUAGGAGCUCAUGACGGUACUGUAAGAAUAAGCACCGGCUAACUACGUGCCAGCAGCCGCGGUAAUACGUAGGGUGCAAGCGUUAAUCGGAAUUACUGGGCGUAAAGCGUGCGCAGGCGGUUAUAUAAGUCAGAUGUGAAAUCCCCGGGCUCAACCUGGGAACUGCAUUUGAGACUGUAUAGCUAGAGUACGGUAGAGGGGGAUGGAAUUCCGCGUGUAGCAGUGAAAUGCGUAGAUAUGCGGAGGAACACCGAUGGCGAAGGCAAUCCCCUGGACCUGUACUGACGCUCAUGCACGAAAGCGUGGGGAGCAAACAGGAUUAGAUACCCUGGUAGUCCACGCCCUAAACGAUGUCAACUGGUUGUUGGGUCUUAACUGACUCAGUAACGAAGCUAACGCGUGAAGUUGA
rnacentral:rRNA from 1 species